AAUACAAAAUAUUUGUUUUUAAUGUAGGGCUACGUUACGUCUAUAUCUACACCCAAAUACCUACUCUUUCUAAAAUAUACUAUGAGCUAAUAUUUUCAUAAUACAAAACAAGAAGUUCGUCAACGAUAAUUUUGAUUGAAAUUCGCGCCAAAUUUUAUUGCGUGGAGUGCUUCAGCAGGUGAUUAUUACUAUCUACUAUCUAUAUUUGAAGAUCUUCCCAAAAGAAUAUUCACAUCACUAAGAUUUCGCUGAUAUUCUCUGAUGUCAAGAUUUAAUAUCAGUAAAGUUUUAUCAAAAACUUUCAGUUAAUCGCGAAUUAAAAUGCCUUGUGGUGGCCAAUCUAUCAAUGGAGCCUCAACCGAUCAGAAGUCGUUGUGGCGUGAUAGAGCUGGCUCCUGAUUGGUCGAAGUUGACGCGAUAUCUAUUUCGGUCGCAAGCCAGAAUGCGCGCGCUGUAGCUACGGCGCAUGUGUGCGAGCGAUACGUGCGGCAUCGAUGUGUGCGUGUGUUGUUGAGGCGCGCUCUCUGUUUACAGCGCGGUGGUGUGGCCGGCGAGCGCACGCAUUCGACACUGUGUAUCGUGCGAAAUCGAGUUUUCCGGCGGCUCUCGAGCUGCUUUAUCGUUUAUGGUGUUUUCCUCACAGUUAACUGGUGCUAAUAUAUGUCACACGUAAAGAAAACAUUCGGGAUUUGUGUUAAAACUCAGUUCCGAGCGUACUUUUGGUGCAGCUCAUAAAAAUUAUUCGUGUUUUCGGCGGAUGCGAUGAAUAAAUUUUGCAAAUCGAGUCUGUGUGUCGAAAAGGUUCGUGAGAGCUAUGUUUUGAUCGGUCGGCGUGUUGUGGAAGUGCCGGGCGGUGCAGACGCGAUACGACUCGCGGCUCUCAUCCUGAUCUCAGUGAAACUCAGGCUGUGCUGCAAGUUGUUCUCACUGCGAGUCCUGGGCCCAGAGGACGUGCUCGCCAGGACCACGCACCAGGACUUGUUGGACCGCCAUACAGUGCCUGGCACGUGCUGAGAUUUCGAGAACAGUGC